rnacentral:lncRNA from 1 species
AUCAGGAAUAAGUAAAUAGAUAAUUAAUCAAGUUUGAAGGCAUAUAAGAGAAAGGAAAGAAAGAAAGGAAAUUUUUGGUUACUUUACGUUAGUCAUCAGCUACUCCAUCAGAUAGCAAUCACUUUUAUGAUGAUUCAUACGUACCGUACGAAGGAAACCUAUAGUGAAGGAUGACGGAAGAAUUAAAUUGUGUAAAAAAUGGCAACUGAAGGAUGAUGGCAGAAUAAAGAAUGAAAGGUCGAUUUUCCAAUCAAUUCUGGGAAUACUUAAUUAGUAAUAGAGGAAGAAGCAGGGCAGCCAAAUGCUUCAUUCCUUAUAUCUCGUCUUAUAGAGCUUCAUGAAAUAUGAGUGAAAUUUAUGAGUAUAUGAGUGAAUGGUAUCAGAGAAUUUAUUUAAUGUGCCCGAAUUGCAUAAUUUAAGAAUAAUGUACGAUUCUCUAAUGCAUAAAUUGUAUUUGUUGUAGCAUUAUAAGGGAGGGAGUUUGCUAUUAUAAACUAAGAAAUUUUAUAAUUAAUGUUGUUAUUCCUUAAAUUAUGUAUAUAUAUAUAUAUGAGGCUAAAGUAAUAGAAUUUUUAUAUUUAAUGUUCGUAAAUGAAUUUAAAUGAGUUCUAUAUCUUUUUCUGAAUUCAACAGUACUACCUAAAUACAGGGGUUGGACAAAAUAAUGGAAGCACCUAGCAUUAUAGCAUCAUAAUUUUGAAAUAUCUAUAAAACCGUCAAAAGCUUGUUUAUUUAUAUGUUUUUUUUUAUUUAUUAUUAGUGUUGUUUAAUAUGUUUGGCUAAAAAAGCUGUUUCUUUUCAGAUAUCAUCAGAAAAAGGUAAUUAAAAUUCAUUAAAAUGAUAGAUCUAUCGGAUUUUCAAAGAGGUCAAAUUGUUGGUUCUCGUAUGGCAGGCGCUAGCAUAACAAAAACAGCCGAAAUGUUUGGUGUAUCAAGAAGUACUGUCUCGAAAGUAAUGACAGCCUUUGAGAAAGACGGAAAAAACCUCCUCGUCGAAAUAAAACUCCGGAAGGAAACCAAAACUUUCAGAUAGGGACAGUCAGACUCUUACGCGAACUGUUAGAAAGGAUCACAAAAGUACAGCUCCCAAAAUUACUGCAGAGCUUAAUGACCAACUCGAUAACCCAGUUUCCACAAAAACCGUUCGCCGGGAACUGCACAAAGCCGGAUUUCACGGGAGGACUGCAAUCAGUAAACCACUACUUUCAAAAACGUUGCAAAGCGUUUAGAGUGGAGUAAAAACCUACAGAAUUGGUC